rnacentral:rRNA from 1 species
AUACCUGAUGGUAUGAUGAGAUUGCAUGAUAGCAUCAUUAAAGAUUUAUCGGUGUACGAUGGGGAUGCGUUCCAUUAGGUAGUAGGCGGGGUAACGGCCCACCUAGCCAACGAUGGAUAGGGGUUCUGAGAGGAAGGUCCCCCACAUUGGAACUGAGACACGGUCCAAACUCCUACGGGAGGCAGCAGUGAGGAAUAUUGGUCAAUGGACGAGAGUCUGAACCAGCCAAGUAGCGUGAAGGAUGAAGGUCCUACGGAUUGUAAACUUCUUUUAUAAGGGAAUAAACCCUCCCACGUGUGGGAGCUUGUAUGUACCUUAUGAAUAAGCAUCGGCUAACUCCGUGCCAGCAGCCGCGGUAAUACGGAGGAUGCGAGCAUUAUCCGGAUUUAUUGGGUUUAAAGGGAGCGCAGACGGGUCGUUAAGUCAGCUGUGAAAGUUUGGGGCUCAACCUUAAAAUUGCAGUUGAUACUGGCGUCCUUGAGUGCGGUUGAGGUGUGCGGAAUUCGUGGUGUAGCGGUGAAAUGCUUAGAUAUCACGAAGAACUCCGAUUGCGAAGGCAGCACACUAAUCCGUAACUGACGUUCAUGCUCGAAAGUGUGGGUAUCAAACAGGAUUAGAUACCCU